rnacentral:rRNA from 1 species
UACGUAGGGUGCGAGCGUUAAUCGGAAUUACUGGGCGUAAAGGGCGCGUAGGCGGCCUUCUAAGUCGAACGUGAAAUCCCCGGGCUCAACCCGGGAACUGCGUCCGAUACUGGAAGGCUUGAAUCCGGGAGAGGGAUGCGGAAUUCCAGGUGUAGCGGUGAAAUGCGCAGAUAUCAGGAGGAACACCGGUGGCGAAGGCGGGUCUCUGGGCCGAUACUGACGCUGAGGAGCGAAAGCGUGGGGAGCGAACAGG